rnacentral:rRNA from 1 species
UACAGAGGGGGCAAGCGUUGUUCGGAAUUACUGGGCGUAAAGGGCGCGUAGGCGGCCUGCUAAGUCGAACGUGAAAUCCCCGGGCUCAACCCGGGAACUGCGUCCGAUACUGGCAGGCUUGAAUCCGGGAGAGGGAUGCGGAAUUCCAGGUGUAGCGGUGAAAUGCGUAGAUAUCUGGAGGAACACCGGUGGCGAGGGCGGCAUCCUGGACCGGCAUUGACGCUGGGGCGCGAAAGCCAGGGGAGCAAACGGG